CAGGCCUAACACAUGCAAGUCGAGCGAGAAGCUCAUGACGGAAUCUUCGGAGGACGGAUUGAGUGGAAAGCGGCGGACGGGUGAGUAACGCGUGGGUAACCUGCCCUGUACAGAGGAAUAGCCAUUGGAAACGAUGAUUAAUGCCUCAUAAGGCUACAGUAUCGCAUGAUACAGUAGCCAAAACUCCGGUGGUACAGGAUGGACCCGCGUUAGAUUAGCUAGUUGGUAAGGUAAAGGCUUACCAAGGCGACGAUCUAUAGCCGACCUGAGAGGGUGAUCGGCCACACUGGAACUGAGACACGGUCCAGACUCCUACGGGAGGCAGCAGUGGGGAAUAUUGCACAAUGGGCGAAAGCCUGAUGCAGCAACGCCGCGUGAGCGAAGAAGGUCUUCGGAUCGUAAAGCUCUGUCCUAUGGGAAGAACACAAUGACGGUACCAUAGGAGGAAGCCCCGGCUAACUACGUGCCAGCAGCCGCGGUAAUACGUAGGGGGCAAGCGUUAUCCGGAAUCACUGGGCGUAAAGGGUGCGUAGGCGGUUUCUCAAGCCAGAAGUGAAAGGCAAUGGCUCAACCAUUGUAAGCUUUUGGAACUGAGAGACUUGAGUGCAGGAGAGGAAAGUGGAAUUCCUAGUGUAGAGGUGAAAUUCGUUGAUAUUAGGAGGAACACCAGUGGCGAAGGCGACUUUCUGGACUGUAACUGACGCUGAGGCACGAAAGUGUGGGGAGCGA
rnacentral:rRNA from 1 species